rnacentral:rRNA from 1 species
UACCAAGUUUUGAUCUAUCCAACUUCGUUAGAUAUACCCGCUGAACUUAAGCAUAUCAA